rnacentral:rRNA from 1 species
UGAACGCUGGCGGCAUGCCUUACACAUGCAAGUCGAACGGCAGCGCGGGGCAACCUGGCGGCGAGUGGCGAACGGGUGAGUAAUAUAUCGGAACGUACCCUGGAGUGGGGGAUAACGUAGCGAAAGUUACGCUAAUACCGCAUACGAUCUAAGGAUGAAAGUGGGGGACUCGCAAGAGCCUCAUGCUCCUGGAGCGGCCGAUAUCUGAUUAGCUAGUUGGUGGGGUAAAGGCCCACCAAGGCUUCGAUCAGUAGCUGGUCUGAGAGGACGACCAGCCACACUGGAACUGAGACACGGUCCAGACUCCUACGGGAGGCAGCAGUGGGGAAUUUUGGACAAUGGGCGCAAGCCUGAUCCAGCAAUGCCGCGUGAGUGAAGAAGGCCUUCGGGUUGUAAAGCUCUUUUGUCAGGGAAGAAACGGUGAGAGCUAAUAUCUCUUGCUAAUGACGGUACCUGAAGAAUAAGCACCGGCUAACUAC